rnacentral:lncRNA from 1 species
AAACAUUUCAUUUGGUUGUUUGCCAUUUGUAGCAGUGGAUGGAACAAACUCAGCUGUAUAUGUUAUUUUUGCUUCCUUUGCCUGUACCUAUGGACAAGGGAUUGCCUUCAGGCGUUUGCCUUCAGGAAACCAGCAAAGGAUGGCCGAUACUAGGCAUGCAUGUGCAUACAGAAAAGAGAGUAACCCAAUAGUGAGGAAGAAAUUGAUGCUGCAGGAGAGAGGGAAUAAUUGCCGAAGCAAAGAUCUUGAGGUACUGAGAAAGGAUGACCCUAAUUUCCUUAAUGCUGCAGCCUGCUUCCACUGAGGGACUGGAGGCUCCUUGAGCAAAAUUAUCUACCUCUUCACCUUUGGAUCUUUCACAGUUCCCAGUUCGGUGUACUACAGAUUGUACUUGCUAAAUAAAAAAUCAUUGUCAUGGUUUACCUAAAUGCCUG